AAGGAUCUUUGAAGUGAAAUCGAGUAGGACGGAGCACGAGAAACUUUGUCUGAACAUGGGGGGACCAUCCUCCAAGGCUAAAUACUACUGACUGACCGAUAGUGAACCAGUACCGUGAGGGAAAGGCGAAAAGAACCCCGGAGAGGGGAGUGAAAUAGAACCUGAAACCGUAUGCGUACAAGCAGUGGGAGCCUACUUGUUAGGUGACUGCGUACCUUUUGUAUAAUGGGUCAGCGACUUAUAUUCAGUGGCGAGCUUAACCGAAUAGGGUAGGCGUAGCGAAAGCGAGUCUUAAUAGGGCGUUUAGUCGCUGGGUAUAGACCCGAAACCGGGCGAUCUAUCCAUGAGCAGGUUGAAGGUUAGGUAACACUGACUGGAGGACCGAACCCACUCCCGUUGAAAAGGUAGGGGAUGACUUGUGGAUCGGAGUGAAAGGCUAAUCAAGCUCGGAGAUAGCUGGUUCUCCUCGAAAGCUAUUUAGGUAGCGCCUCAUGUAUCACUCUGGGGGGUAGAGCACUGUUUCGGCUAGGGGGUCAUCCCGACUUACCAAACCGAUGCAAACUCCGAAUACCCAGAAGUGCCGAGCAUGGGAGACACACGGCGGGUGCUAACGUCCGUCGUGAAAAGGGAAACAACCCAGACCGCCAGCUAAGGUCCCGAAGUUGUGGUGAAGUGGUAAACGAUGUGGGAAGGCUUAGACAGCUAGGCGGUUGGCUUAGAAGCAGCCAUCCUUUAAAGAAAGCGUAAUAGCUCACUAGUCGAGUCGGCCUGCGCGGAAGAUGUAACGGGGCUCAAACCACACACCGAAGCUGCGGGUGUCACGUAAGUGACGCGGUAGAGGAGCGUUCUGUAAGCCUGUGAAGGUGAGUUGAGAAGCUUGCUGGAGGUAUCAGAAGUGCGAAUGCUGACAUGAGUAACGACAAUGGGUGUGAAAAACACCCACGCCGAAAGACCAAGGGUUCCUGCGCAACGUUAAUCGACGCAGGGUUAGUCGGUUCCUAAGGCGAGGCUGAAAAGCGUAGUCGAUGGGAAACAGGUUAAUAUUCCUGUACUUCUGGUUACUGCGAUGGAGGGACGGAGAAGGCUAGGCCAGCUUGGCGUUGGUUGUCCAAGUUUAAGGUGGUAGGCUGAAAUCUUAGGUAAAUCCGGGGUUUCAAGGCCGAGAGCUGAUGACGAGUCGUCUUUUAGAUGACGAAGUGGUUGAUGCCAUGCUUCCAAGAAAAGCUUCUAAGCUUCAGGUAACCAGGAACCGUACCCCAAACCGACACAGGUGGUCGGGUAGAGAAUACCAAGGCGCUUGAGAGAACUCGGGUGAAGGAACUAGGCAAAAUGGCACCGUAACUUCGGGAGAAGGUGCGCCGGCUAGGGUGAAGGAUUUACUCCGUAAGCUCUGGCUGGUCGAAGAUACCAGGCCGCUGCGACUGUUUAUUAAAAACACAGCACUCUGCAAACACGAAAGUGGACGUAUAGGGUGUGACGCCUGCCCGGUGCCGGAAGGUUAAUUGAUGGGGUUAGCGCAAGCGAAGCUCUUGAUCGAAGCCCCGGUAAACGGCGGCCGUAACUAUAACGGUCCUAAGGUAGCGAAAUUCCUUGUCGGGUAAGUUCCGACCUGCACGAAUGGCGUAACGAUGGCGGCGCUGGCUCCACCCGAGACUCAGUGAAAUUGAAAUCGCUGUGAAGAUGCAGUGUAUCCGCGGCUAGACGGAAAGACCCCGUGAACCUUUACUGUAGCUUUGCACUGGACUUUGAGCCUGCUUGUGUAGGAUAGGUGGGAGGCUUUGAAGCGUGGACGCCAGUUCGCGUGGAGCCAUCCUUGAAAUACCACCCUGGCAUGCUUGAGGUUCUAACUCUGGUCCGUGAUCCGGAUCGAGGACAGUGUAUGGUGGGCAGUUUGACUGGGGCGGUCUCCUCCUAAAGAGUAACGGAGGAGUACGAAGGUGCGCUCAGACCGGUCGGAAAUCGGUCGCAGAGUAUAAAGGCAAAAGCGCGCUUGACUGCGAGACAGACACGUCGAGCAGGUACGAAAGUAGGUCUUAGUGAUCCGGUGGUUCUGUAUGGAAGGGCCAUGGCUCAACGGAUAAAAGGUCCUCCGGGGAUAACAGGCUGAUACCGCCCAAGAGUUCAUAGCGACGGCGGUGUUUGGCACCUCGAUGUCGGCUCAUCACAUCCUGGGGCUGAAGCCGGACCCAAGGGUAUGGCUGUUCGCCAUUUAAAGUGGUACGCGAGCUGGGUUUAGA
rnacentral:rRNA from 1 species